UACGUAGGGACCGAGCGUUGUCCGGAAUCAUUGGGCGUAAAGAGCGUGUAGGCGGCCCUUAAGUCCUGCGUGAAAUCCCACGGCUCAACCGUGGAAGUGCACUCGAAACUGCGCAGCUAGAGUCCUGGAGAGGAAGGUGGAAUGCUUGGUGUAGAGGUGAAAUUCGUAGAUAUCAAGCGGAACACCGGUGGCGAAGGCGGCCUUCUGGA
rnacentral:rRNA from 1 species